rnacentral:lncRNA from 1 species
UUGACACCCUGACACCCUGUCAUUACGCCACUGCAACCACAAGGCAAUGAACGGGUAGUCUGCAAAAAUUCAUCCUCGUCUUCAAGGCCUUUUUGAAUCGACGGCGACUCUCGUCGAGUGUUGAGUGGGGUUGAGUGACAUCCAGAAUCCAGUGGCAGUAAUGACAGUGACAUUUUGUGACAUCCUUGCCUCCAGGUUUCGGCCGCGGCGCGCCGCUGGCGCUUCGGAGUUCGGCUCAGUGGUUCGACCUCGCGGCUUGCAAAUAGAAUGGCGGUUGUUUUUCUUCAGCAAAUGUGAAAUGUAAAGAAAUAUUUCCAGUACUAUUUGGUAUAUGUUUAAGCCAAAAAUCUCAAGUUAUGCUUUAGUUGCUGGUUUAUUGCCAGAUUGACUGUUAUGCAACAUGCUCAUACCUCUACUGCAAGAUUGACUGACUGUUUCACAGCACAUUUGCAUACUUCUACAACAAAUCAUUUUGACUGACUGUUUCACAGCACAUUCGUAUACUUUUACAGGAGAUGAUUUUGACUGACUGUUUCACAGCACAUUCGUAUACUUUUACAGCAAAUCAUUUUGACUGACUGUUUCACAGCACAUUCGUAUACUUUUACAGCAAAUCAUUUUGACUGACUGUUUCACAGCACAUUCGUAUACUUUUACAGCAAAUCAUUUUGACUGACUGUUUCACAGCACAUUCGUAUACUUUUACAGCAAAUCAUUUUGGAUGGAACAUGUGAGAAAUCCUUUUGACCUUUGUUACAUUGACCCAUUUAAAAGAUCACUAUUAAGCAAACUUUGACUGAGAGUUUUUUAAUGAUGCAUGUGUUACGAAUCAGUGCAGCGAACGAGUGUACUUAGCGAUCCUUCACAGAGAGGAAAUGAUUAACCGUACAAUAAGGUAACUUGUGACAUUUUCCUGUAAUAAUUUUAGAUACAUGUAAGAUAUGGGAGGACAUUUUGUUUAGUCACGAUAAUAACUAUCAGGACUUGUACUAUAAUUUUCACAUCGUUUUUCAAGAUAGACUAGGAUAGUGCAAAGUUUUCAUGCCCUCUAAGCAACCAGACGUUUGUCCCUACAUAAACAUUUAACUUAUGGUAGUAAAAAUAUAAAGAACUAGGUUAAACAUUAGUCAUCACUCUUAAUCAAACCGAAAAUUACUCAAAGUACUCAAAUUUCGUUAGUCUGGAUAUUAUGGUAGGGCCAAAUACGAAGUAAAAUAAGUCGUGACUUAUUUAAGACGCGACUUAAAUAAGACGCGAGCUGGUAUAAAUAGUUAGAUGAUUUUUUCGCUUAUUAUUUCCGUAUUUAAUGUUGUUGCCGCUCCACGUAUCGCUUUUUUUUGCUGCAAUUUAUCUCUUUAUGGUGUCAGCUUUGCUUACAUUUUCAGCAAUUCUGAUUUCUGACUUUUUCGGCCGUUUUUAAUUUAAUUAAGACGCGUCUAAAAUAUGAACAGGUAAAAUCUCUGUUCUUAUCUAAGUCGCGACUUACAUGGCACGGGUCUUACCUAACACGCGAACAAGCAUUUUGGUUCGUUUAUACGACGAGGUCGCAUCUUACUUAAGUCGCGUCUUAAUUAAAUAAGUCGACUCGUGACUUAUUUUUCCUCCUAUAAAUGGCCCUAUGGUCAUUAUAAUUAUACGAGGUGUUUGCGGCUUAUCGUUCGCGUUUGCGCAUGUGCUAAAGUAUGAAAGUCAAUGAAUAAUUUUCAUAUGUGUAAUAGAUGUGUCUGAAGUGUAUUUUCGCAAAUAUAUUGCUUCGAGGAAAUAUUUCAAAAUCAAGCGUAAAUAGAGAUUAAAGUGUAACAAAUUGUCUGGCGUUCGAAUCCUCGAUAUUAUUUGCGCGCAUUUUGUCUCCAGUUCGGAACUGUGUGAAAGACCAUAGAAAGACCCGGUAUUAUAAACUUCAUUAA